AUAUAUGUGUGUAUGUGUGCAUGUGUGUGUAUGUGUAUACAUGUGUGUGUACAGCGGUGGACUGGCCAGGUUACCAGCUUGCUCAAUGGCAAGUGGGCCCCUGUGCCAUUAGAAUCCAUAUAUGGGGACCCAUGUUAGUAUCUAAGGGGGCCCAUCCCCUCAUGUUUGAGAAUUUCUUUAUUCACACCUGGAAG